GCAUUGGUGGUUCAGUGGUAGAAUUCUCGCCUGUCACGCGGGAGACCGGGGUUCGAUUCCCCCGCCAAUGCA